rnacentral:rRNA from 1 species
AACGAACGCUGGCGGCAUGCCUAACACAUGCAAGUCGAACGAGACCUUCGGGUCUAGUGGCGCCCGGGUGCGUAACGCGUAGUAACCUGCCCUUAGGUUCGGCAUAACUCCCCGAUAGGGGUGCUAAUCCCGUAUAAUUUCUUCGGACCAAAGAUUUAUCGCCUUUGGAUAGGCCCGCGUUGGAUUAGCUAGUUGGUAGGGUAAAAGCCUACCAAGGCGACGAUCCAUAGCUGGUCUGAGAGGAUGAACAGCCACACUGGGACUGAGACACGGCCCAGACUCGUACGGGAGGCAGGAGUGGGGAAUAUUGGAGAAUGGGCGAAAGCCUGAUCCAGCAAGGCCGCGUGAGUGAUGAAGGCCUUAGGGUUGUAAAGCUCUUUUAACCGGGAUGAUAAUGACAGUACCGGGAGAAUAAGCACCGGCUAACUCCGUG